AAGAAGACAAUUAGAUCAAUAAUGAACAAAUUUCUUUCAAUGUAUUCGGAUAGUUUCUGCGGCUUUAGUUGCUGUCGGAUUGAAUCAACAAUCAACAGAAAAAUGAAACAUUGAAGCGAAAGAGAGGAGAGC
ensembl:ncRNA T19F4.3 ncRNA